AAACCAACAGGGAUUGCCUUAGUAACGGCGAGUGAAGCGGCAAAAGCUCAAAUUUGAAAUCUAGUGCCUUUGGUACUCGAGUUGUAAUUUGAAGAAUUUUUCUCCGAACAGUCCUUUAUCUAUGUUCCUUGGAACAGGACGUCAUAGAGGGUGAGAAUCCCGUGUGAUUUUGGAUACUGUUCAUUGUGAGAUUUAUUCGAAGAGUCGAGUUGUUUGGGAAUGCAGCUCUAAGUGGGUGGUAAGUUCCAUCUAAAGCUAAAUAUUGGCGAGAGACCGAUAGCGAACAAGUACAGUGAUGGAAAGAUGAAAAGAACUCUGAAGAGAGGGUGAAAAAGUACGUGAAAUUGCUGAAAGGGAAGGGCUUUAGGUCAGACUUGGUGUUUAAUACUCAGUUCUCCUUGUGGGAGCUGCUCUUGUUUUUCACUGGGCCAAUAUCAGUUUUGGCGGUAGAGCACCUCUGGAAAUGUAGCUGCCUUCGGGUAGUGUUAUAGUCUGGGGACGAUCUACUGCUGGGACUGAGGUCUGCGCAUUUUGCUAGGAUAUUGGCAUAAUGACCUUAAGCCGCCCGU
rnacentral:rRNA from 1 species